rnacentral:tRNA from 1 species
AGGAUUAUAGUUAAAUAUAACAAUUAAUUUGCACUUAAUAAGUACUGACUUCAGUUAAUCUUA